UACGUAGGGUGCAAGCGUUAAUCGGAUUUACUGGGCGUAAAGGGCGCGCAGGCGGCUCAUUUUGUCAGGCGUGAAAGCCCCGGGCUUAACCUGGGAACUGCGUUUGAUACGGAUGGGCUAGAGUUCGGGAGAGGAGAGUGGAAUUCCCAGUGUAGAGGUGAAAUUCGUAGAUAUUGGGAAGAACACCGGUGGCGAAGGCGGCUCUCUGGACCGAUACUGACGCUGAGGCGCGAAAGCGUGGGGAGCAAACAGG
rnacentral:rRNA from 1 species